UCGCCUUCCGCCUGCCAGCGCCACCCAUUGGCGGCGCCCUGCUUUUCGCCUUGCGCUACCGCGUGACGGGCCACGAGUUCUGGGACAACAACGGCGGCCGUGACUAUGCUCUACGUGGGCCCGAGCACCCUGGCAGUGGCGGAGCUCCGGAACCCCAGGGCUGGAUCCACUUUAUCUGAGACACCUGCGGCUGACAGCGGAAAAAACCAAAGGCACCCGGGGGCUGGGGGAGCCCGAAGAUUUGGCGGGGAGAAAUGGGAGAAACCGAGAUUGGCGGGGAGCUGCCCCAGAGAGUCAAGUGGGGGAGGGCGAGGAGGAUGGGAGAAACCAAAGGGGUAUGGGGAGUGGAUGGAAUCAAUGAAAAUGGGGGAAAUUGGAGUGGAUGUGAGUGGAAGGAACUCAAGGUAUGAGAGACAGAAGGGGUGCUGGAAGAGUAGUAAAAAAUCAAAAGAAUUGGGACGAUGGUGACAUGUUCUUCCGUGAACGGGCACUGGGAGAAAGUGAGUGGGUUCGCCAGGCCUAGGGGCAGUCAAAGGUUUGGGACUGAGGAGGUAUUUUGUGUGAGCAAGGAGCCCACCGCAAUUGAAGUCAUUUAGAUUGCUGGCUCAUCCUCUCUUACCAGCCUUUGCCACUGCAGGUCCCCCAGCCCUGCCUUUCCUAGCUUUCCAGCCAUAAUUGCCUUGCUUAAGUCUCAGAACUUGGCCGUUGCUCCUCAGUCCCUGGCAUUAUGACAGGAAUCCCUUGUCACCCUUGCCAGCCCCUGACUUAAGUCUCCACUGGCUGGGGAGUGACGACAGGUAACAGUCAGAGCUCCUUCCUCCAGCCUCCAGGCAGCUCCGGGCAUUAAAGUGAAAGCAAAACCAACUCCAGGCCUGUCCUUGUAGCCAAAUAAUGUGGCGCCCAAGGGGUUGGUACCCUCAGGGGCUUCCAGAAAAAUGCCAGCCUUACCUUUCUGGGUGCCUUCUAAUGACCUCUGAACACUUUAUGGACUGUAUUUGUCAAGAGACAGGUGAACCACAGGAUUUUUUUCUGCCACAGAAGAAAAGGAAGUCACCGACUAGCUGUAUAAUUUUGGGCAAGUCACUUCACCUCUCUGGGCCCCAAUUUCCUCCUUGGGAAACUGGAUUUGGGUUAGGUGAUCUCUUAGGCCCCUUCCUGCUUUGACGUUUUACCAUCUGUGAGGGGCAGUGUGGACAAGAAGCCACAUUCUCCAGCCUACAGUUGGAGUGCUGCAGUCUAGAACACACAGCGACCCAAGCGUCUGGUUGGGACUGAGGAUGGGUCCUCCAGGUUUCGACACCCAUUCCAGAGCCCAGGAAGCAUCCCAUAACCAGCCAGCAGCCUCAGGGUAUUCCAGGCCCUCUUUCAAACCACAGCACUUUCUCUGCCCCUUGCUUUUUCCUCUUGCCGCCCCCCACCCCCCAACUUCCAGCCUGGAUGCUAUGAAACAGCUUUGGGGAGCUGCCUCUCUGUUGGAGGAAGUGAUGCUUGGGAGCCCAGAGAUGAAAGGAAACGAUAUUGGGGGCUUUCUUGAGGAUAAAGGAUCAUGGGUAUAAGAAAUGGAAAACAUUUCAAAUCAAGAAUCAGAGCAACUUGAAAACUGAAUGGUACCAGAAGAUGGCAGUCAGUUCCGUACUCUGAGCAAGUGAAAUGGGAAAGCUGGACUUUUCUACCCAUUCACUCAUGCCUUGUGUUUCUCCUCUGCUGGUUGCUUUUCCUUUUCUCUCACCCUCUGCCUAAACUUUGCUUUCCUCUUUCCUUGUCCCCCUCUCAUCACUUUCAUUUUUCUUUUAGCAUAGAGGCCAUUUACCUUCACUUUCUCUAUUUCCAUCCACCUCCCCCUUCAGCCUUGUUGAUCUCUGCUAUUCCUUCUCCCUCCAGAAGGGGUAGAGACCCUACUUCCUUUUCUCCACGACCAUGGUUGAUCCACCUUCCUCCCUCAGGCUCCUUUUUGACAGUCUUCUAGAAGGGAGAAGAGGGAAAAGAAGCAGUUUCGGAUGCUGCAGAUUAACGAGGAGCUCCCAGUCUCCCAAACUGGCUUGGAGAAGGCAAAGCACUGAGGGUCCCAGGCUUCAUCUGCUCCUUCCAGGAGCUUGCUGCUGUCUCCUGUGCUAGUGUCCCAGCUCUGCACGAUCAGUGAGGAACGGCUGCACCUGCCUGCUGGAGAACUGGGGAACCCAUCUGAACUCCAGCCUUUCUGUACACCGGGAUUCUCUCCUGGCGCUAGCCAGUCCUCCACACCUGCUGGUCUGCUAUGCCUCUUCCCACUACCCCCACGAACAUUGAACAGGCCAGUUCCCUAAAGUUUUCACUCAGAGAGUCCCCAACUAGGACAAUUGCUGGAUGGUCUGUGCUUGGGCCCUCUCUGGGAGCCCUAGUGUCACUAAGCAGGUAAAUGCAAACAGGUUGGAGGCAGGCAACCAAGGAGAAUUCAUUGUUCCUGAGCUGCUUCUCUAAGAAGUACCACGGCUCACCCAUGCCCCCAUUCUCAGCUUUGUAGAGCCAAUACCUGAGUCUCCUGGUUCUUCCCAUACAGAGCUGCCCCAGGGCCUGGAGGUGAGCUGAUAGCCUCAUCUGACAUGGGAAACACUAGAAGUUUGGCAGAAUGUUUAGAGAUGUGUCAUGUGUCAGGCACUGUGGUAGGGACUUUCCUGUAAAGAGUAUUAACUGCCUGAACAGGAGCAAUUUAGGGUAUAACGUGUCAGCAGUGGACUGGGAAGUACCAUCAGAGAAACCAUCACCAUGGUCUGGGGCUUGGGUUCCAGAAACACUGCAGCGAGAACCGGCCCUCAAAUGUCUUCCAAUACAUUCCUCGUGUUCCUUUGUUUUCCUUUAUGAAUGUAGCUCAUCAUUUCUCUUCAUAAUAAGCUCUAACUCAUCUUUCCAGUCUAACUCCCACACUCCCUUGCUUCUAACUCCUGUGUUUCUCUGGAGCUCCUCUGGAUCCUUGCAAUUAGCAGGUCAUAGAAUCAAGAGACCUGAAAAGGCUUGUCUUUAGAGAUCAUCCUGUCCAGACUCCUCCAUAGAUGAGGAUACAGGUCCAGAGAUGAGAAAUGACUCCAGCAAGGUCAGAUAAUUUGUUAGUGCAUCUCGAGAUGGGGCUUAAACCCAGGCCUCCUAAUCACAUCCCAGUCCAGGCAACCCAAGAGGCCUCUCUCCACGUAGUCAGACCCACGAUUUUUCAUGGCAAGGGGUUACGUCAGGCAUGUUUCAUUUUCUGCUACUAGUUUCCAUUCCCUUCCCCGCCCAGGUGGAAAGAGAAACAGAAGGGACUGCUAUGCCCCCAGCCUUGGCACUUCUUUCGAUGAGAUUGCCGAAGAACAGUGAAGUUGCUAAAAAGACUGAAUAAUCUACCCAUUGAAUAGCUAACCUAGCAAGGAGAUGAAAGUUUGCUAUGUGAAUCCCCCAGAACCACUUCUCAUCAGGCCCUCCCAGAGCCUCCCCACCCCCCACACAGUGCAGCCCUGUUCACUGGGCCCCAAACCCACUGGCAUGGUGCCUCACUUCAGCUUCUUCACACAGCUGCCCUCCCUUCUGGAUAAAAGACCUCAUAUUUUAAAUAAAAUUGAAAUAUAAAGAGAAAGCAUA